CAAGCUGAGGGAGAAUUAACACUUCUCCCUACAAACCUCAUCGCUUCCUCCCUCCUCUCACUCCUCAUCUCGCUGUCUCGUGGAUGCGCUUCUCUUUUCUGGCGCGCUAGCUGGAACAGCCAUAGCUCUCUGUACACUUCUGUCUGACUGCCUUGUUUGGAGAAUGGCGCCUUCAUCAGAGACAGAGUUGACUGAAACUCAGCAAGGGGCCAACCGGCUCACAGACAGAGGAGGAUGAACAGCCAAUCAGACGCAUGGAUAAAUCAUCAAGGUAUGCAAAUUAAUGGUUCAGUUCCUUGUGUACACUCACAACACCCAGUGCCUGAUGGUGUUGAUUCUGACGGUCACCCUGCUGUUAAACAGUUGGCUGGUACAGGCCUUAAUAGGGACUGUACAUUUUUUACAUUUUCCAUAGAGAUCAACUGCUUUUUUUAACAAAGUCUAGUUUAAGGUUGAAUGAGGUCGACAGUCGUUAUGACUUGUUAUUUUACUUUAAAUGAAUAACAUGAAAAGAUCAUUUGUGUUAAGUAUAACCUAAGUAAGCAGGAGCUCUUAUAUCUCAAUGAAAAUCGGACAUCUUGUGAAAUCGGACAAAAAGAGAACGUUGGUUUCUGCCUUUCACCUUUAGCAAGUAUUAGCAUGUUUUACAUUUGACACAGACACACCCCUCCCCCUGCUCCUUUCUCUGUUUCACUCCAGCUCUUUUAUACAUGCAGCGUUUUAUCCCCUAAAUCCUAUUUGUCAGGUAGAGUGCGUGAUAGGUGCAGGGGAGGAGGCUGUGUAAUCUCUGCUGCGGCGCGGUCCCCCUGCUCUGCUAAGGGGAUACAGCGGCCAGCAGCCAGGGUUACUGGUGUGGAAACACUGUUUGGGUGGCUCUGUCCUUUUUGGUUUCCAACUUCCUGAUGUGCCAGCCACCCCUUAAGGACUGAUACCCUCUGCCUUCCCUGUGUUACAAUGCAGUGACUGUGGAGGUUGUGGUUUAGGUGCACGCAUAGUUACGCUAGAGAAGCAUGAGGUGUCACUGCAUAUUCCUACUAAACUAUACCAAACUCCUACUCCUUUCAGUGAUCUUUAUCAGACCCGACCAAAUACCGAUCUGAUUCCUACUUCUAUUUUACAAAGCUGCUGAUUGAUUUGCGCUGCAAUAUUUUUGUAAUUGUGGAAUUGUCUGAUAAUGGCACCAUAUUUUAAAAUGGUGUGGGAAAGAAUUGAACAGAUCCUGUUAAAAACGACACAUUUCAAAUAACAGUAACAGAUAAUU